AAAUCGAUCAUUAAUGCUCACUCUCCUGCUGUCUGAUGAAAGAUGCAGUUGAUGACUGAAGAGCCUUUUCAGCUUUCAGAGUUGCACUGAGGUUU